rnacentral:lncRNA from 1 species
UGAUGUAGCCCUUAUCAGUGAAUCUCAGCAUCAGAAGCAGUAUCCUGAUAUCUUGGAGGGAAGAGAUGGUGUCCUGGUAUCCCAUACAUUCUGCCUACUCUAGGGAGACCCUCCGGAAACACUCAGCUGUUAGGUCUUAUUUUCUUUCUUGCAGUAAAAGGUUUCCUCUCUUUCACUCCUGAAUUCUCCUAGUCACAAGGAAGGACAGUUAUGUCCUGAGUGAUAAAGGAAAGCUGACAAGGGCCUUUAGUAAUCAUUUAUCUUCUGUUGCAGAAGAGAUUCUAUCUUUUUCACUGGGGACCCACCCUUCCAUGACUAUAUGAGAGCACCAUCUCCUACCUGCUAUCCCUGUUCUAGGCCAGCCACGACAGAAAGAGGAUUUUAUACAGAGAAAAUGCCUAUCUGUGCAACCAGGCAUUUCUCUCUUCGGUGUGGCGGUCAUUCACCGGGGGUGUCCGAGGGAAACCACUUUGGGGAUGAGACUCUGAACUAUGCUGAGAAGUUGUGGACUAAAUGGACAACUACUAUGGGUAAAAAAUGUUUUAGAGGUGGGACUCUAAGACCAGCUGAUAUGGUUUAGCUCUGUGUCCCCAUCCAAACCUCACCUUGUAGUGCCCAUAAUCCCCAUGUGUCAUGGGAGGGACCCAAUGGGAGGUAAAUGAAUCCUGGGGGCGGUUACCCUCAUGUUGUUCUCAUGAUAGUGAGUGACUGCUCAUGAGAUCUGUUGGCUUCAUAAGGGCUUUUCCCCCUUUUGCUCAGCACUUCUCCUUCCUGCCAGCAUGUGAAGAAGGAUGUGUUUGCUUCCCCUUCUGCCAUGAUUGUGAGUUUCCUUAGGCCUCACCAGCCCUGUGGAACUGUGAGUCAAUUAAACCUCUUGCCUUUAUAAAUUACCCAGUCUCAGGCAGUUCUCUAUAGCAGCGUGAGAAUGGACUGAUACACCAGGAAUAUGUCAACAAUAUUGAGUCUUACCUUUACAUCGAUAUCCUUGUUUGAUCACUCCCCAGAGCUAUGAAACAAGAGACAGAAUGCACCACAUGUCAUUCAUCCAUCUGGUGUGAGGCUACAAGCCCUGGAGCACCCUAAGAACAACUUACAAAUCCAGCACAGUUGUCACAAAAAGUGGGCUUCAGGUAGGUGGUCUCUUGGAAGUUGUGAGGAAAGCCCAGGCCCAGCUUGGAAUAGAUUGAGCUGGCUCUCAUGAAGUAGGCUGUGAUCUCAUCCCUGCUGAUGAGGCCUUCCCUGCCGGCAGAUGACCAAGGCAAGGAUGUGAGUAUAAGGGGCAUGGAGGCAGGUAGCAAGGGGGGGCUUCUAGCCUUAGAAACUCACCUUUCUUUUUAUCCUCAGUGGUAAUAUGGUAUGUGCUACCUCAUGAUUACUUCCAUGGGCCCUACUCUUAACAAGGAUACAAGAUGACAUGUGGUAAGUAGGUAAGGCAGCAUUACUCAUUUCCACAGAGGUGUUCUUUGGCCAAACUAGGUUUCCCUAACUAACUUGACCACUAUCUAUAAGACUUGAAAAAGAAACAAUGUAACAUGUACAUGUGUAUAGGGAGGGAAAUGUCUUAUGCUACAGUUUCUGACUUUAGACAGUACCUAACUGGAACCCACUAACCAUAUGAUUAGUUUCCUAUAGAGAACCAAGAUAGAAUUUAUUUAACCUUGAGAAAAGUAAAAAUGCAAAGUAUGAAUAAGUAUUAGUUGUUUCCCAAAAUCUGUAAUGACAAAGCAAGAAGGAAGACUAAACUUUUUCUUAUUUAUAGUUGACUAUUUAUAAAGUGGCAGAUUUAUGGAAUGUUCAAUUCAGUUUUUGUUUUUUUUUUUUUUGAGACAGGUUUUUGCUCUUGUGGCCCAGGCUGGAGUGCAGUGGCAUGAUCUCGGCUCACUGCAACCUCCGCCUCCUGGGUUCAAACAACUCUCCUGCCUCAGCCUCCCGAGUAGCUGGGAUUACAGGUGCCCACCACCACACCUGGCUAAUUUUUGUAUUUUUAGUAGAGACAGGGUUUCACCAUGUUGGCCAGGUUGGUCUCGAACUCCUGAGCUCAGGUGAUCUGCCCACCUCGGCCUCCCAAAGUGUUGGGAUUACAGGCGUGAGCCACUGUGCCCAGGCCCAGAAUAUUUUUAAAAGAAUGCAUAUUUCAUGGUCUGUUCUUUAAGUGAUCACAGCAGCAACAUAUCUGAGUUUUCAAAUUCUUCUAGUGACAUACCUAUAAACCUAUUCUCACCAAUGGGCUCAUAACCACAUAUUCCUAAGUACAAACCCUCACCUGUCUUUGUCCAUCACACAGAAGGAAAAUGGAAAACUCGCAGCAAUCUUUUCAAAUUCUUCCUGAGAAAUGUAUCCAUCCUGGUCGUGAUCAUAGUUCUUGAAGACAGACUGUGAAAAAGGAGUUUUUUUGGUGAUUACUAAAGAGAAACCGGUCUUCUCUCCCUUUAGUCAAAUGACAAAGAGCUGGGGCAGUUGGAUAAAAGCCUUUUAACAACCUGAACGAGAGGAACAGGGAAACCUGCUCCUUUAGCUGUGGCAAAGAUGUGGCAGGUCACAUCUCAGGCCUUUGCUGGUAGCAGCAUGUGGGGGGUGGCCAUGUACUUUGAAUCAUUAGCACGUCAAUUAUACUAUCACGCUGGCUACUCCUAGUUCACUGCGCAGAGGGAUGUUCUCCUUUCACUCUACCCUUUUUUUCAUCACUCAGCUCCAGUUGUACCUUCUUUGAGAAGCUUCUACAAACAGCCCAGUUGGAAGUGCUCUGUCCCCACUGUUAAUCCUCUUGUUUCUCACCGUUACGCUCUUAGUUUUCCAUUGUUACAUGUGAGUUGUCCACGAGGAUACAUGCAUAAGUAUGAGAAUAUAUACCCCUUCCUCAGCAAUUAGCACAGAGAAUUGAAUUAAGCAGUACAAAGGUUUUCAGUUUUAGGUUUACCUGAUUACCCCUUACUAUACUCAAAUGCAUCCCAAUACUUCUGUACUCCUAAAUCAACUGACAACCUUUAAGCAUAUGCUCUUUUGCUAGGUCUUGAAGAGGAGGCACAACUGCCUUCAUAUGAGUCCAGUGUGUGUUGUCAAAAUGUAACUUUUGAAUUGUUCUAAAGCCACAGUAAGAGAAGUAAGUGGUUCAAGUUUCGUGCCUUUACAUUUCCACCAUUGUGCUUUCCUCUCCCUUUACCCCACAUACAAAACUGAGCCAGGCAAUGCCUAGUUUUUGUGUGCUGAACACAGCUGUACUUACAUCCACCAUCCUCUGGACGUGUUUGCUAAUGGUUUUUGGAUCAGGUUUGGGAGACACUCCAGAAGCCCAGUCCACUACUACUGGUGGCUUUGAAGGUGUUAGUGGCUAAAAUGAAAUAUUUAGAGAAAUCCUCAUGACUACAAUGCAAUAUUAUAACCUAUAGCUCUUUCUUUUCCCACUACCUGACGGUUACAUUUAUGGACAAUCUUCAAUUAUGUUCAGUGGCAAGGAGCAGAGAACCCACAGGCAAUUGAAAUCUCUACUAAUAAUUUUGGCUAACAAGGCAUUGUGCUUACGGUUUCCAGAGUGCUCUUCACAUACAUUAUCUGCAGCUACAGAUAAUUUGAAAUUCUCAAUCUGCCUGAGUUGCAAUUCCCUCUCCAUUAAACCCUUUGUCAGAGCUAUCAACAAAGAGUAAAGUGGAUCAUUUAUGAUUCCUCUCUAUUCUCCAGUCACAUUUUGCAGUAGAAAUGUGAAUAAGGAAAAGCUUAGCUAAAAGGCAGGAAGGCACAAGAAAAAUCAUCGGAAGCCUGGACAAGCUCUUUUCUAAAUACAGUCAUGCAUCACUUAAUGACUGGGAUAUGUUCUGAGAAAUGUGUCAUGAGGUGAUUUUGUCAUUGUAUGAGCACCACAGUGUGUACUUACACAAACCUAGAUGGUAUAGCCUGCUACACACCUAGGCUAUUUGGUAUAGCCUACUGCUCCUAGGCUACAUACCUAUACAGCAGGUUAUUAUACUCAGUACUGUAGGCAAUUGUAAUGAUGGUAUUUGUGUAUCUUAACAUAUCUAAACAUAGAAAAGGUAAAAAUAUGGUAUAGAAAUUUUUUUUUAAUGUUACACCUGUAUAGGGCACUUAACCAUGAAUAGAGCUUUCAAGAUUAGAAAUUACUGUGGCAAGUCGUGAGUGGUGAGUGAAUGUGGAGGCCUAACAUUACUGUAUACUCCUAUAUACUUUAUAAAUACUGUACACUUAGACUACACUAAGUUUCUUAAAUUUUUUCUUCAAUGAUAAAUUACCUUAUUUUACUGUAAAAGCUUUUAAUUUUUUUAACUUUUACUCUUUUGUUAUGACACUUAGCUUAAAGCACACAUUGUAUAGCUUAUAGCUGUACCAGUUAUUUCCUUUAUAGCCAUAUUCUAUAAACUUUUUUCUAUUUUAAAAAUGUUUAAUUUUUUAAAUCUUUGUUAUAAACUAAGGUACAAUUACACUCAUUGGCCUAUGUCUAUAUAGAGUCAAGAUCAUCAAUAUCACUGUCUUCCACUCCACAUCUUAUCCUAUUGGAAGGUCUUUAGGGGCAAUAACAUGCAUGGAGCUGUCACCUUCUGGAGGACUUGCCUGAGGCUGUUUUACAGUUAAUUUUUCUAAGUAGAAGGAAUGCACUCUAAAAUAAUGAUAAAAAGUAUUGUAUAGUAAGUGCAUAAACCGGUAAUACUUACUAUCAAGUAUUAUGUACUGUACGUAAGUGUAUAACCUAGACUUUUUACAGCUCAGUAGGUUUGUUUACACCAGUAUAAUCACAGACAUAGUGAGUAAUGUGUUGUGCUACAAUGUUACAAUUGUUCUGUCACUAGGCAGUAGUAAUUUUUCUGCUCCAUUAUAAUCUUAAGGGACCACUGUGGUAUAUGAGGUCUAUCACUGACCAAAAUGUCAUUAUGUGGUGCAUGACUGUAUUUGAAACUCAGCCCAAAUUAAAAUCUCUCUGAAAAAACAGAAUGUACCCUUUCCAUUGAAAUGCCUCUAACCUGAAAAUGGAAUCUACCAAAUAUUUUCAGUGGAAUCUUUCAUUACAAUAGAAAGCUAGAACUUGAUCUUUCUGUGUGGAGGAGUGCAAUUUAGCCACCCCAAUAGAUGAGCUGGAUUUCUUAAGUGUGGGCAACUCUCUUCCCUUGAGUAUCACUUGUUUUGGGGUUUGGAAACGUCCCAGGAGACUGAAGUGAUUUUACUUGCCUGUGGGAGGGUAGGGCAGAUAACCUGUGAAGUUCCUACUGCAGGCAGUGCCAGGACUGUGUACUAUUUUGAGGACUUCUCAGCAUAGGAGGUCAAAAGACUCAGCAGACUGUUCUUUUCACCCAGAACAUUACAGGAAAAUGGGGCUUUUCUAUCUACCAACCUGGAAAUCUUCAGAAAUUUAGCUUCUGAUUAGUACGCAUAUUACUCUCAUUAUCAUCAAUGAAUCAUAGAAAAGAAAUUUAUGUGGGGACUCUUCUUAAUGCGGGGGGGAUGUCACUCUGGUGCACAAUAGUAUCUUCCUUCUCUACUUUGUAAACCACUGACUGAUUCCACCACACCUGGCAUUCUGAUGAUAUAGUUAUUUACUGUUCACUAGUUAUUCACUGGUCACACAUUAGGCUUAUCCCUUCAACUAUAUCACAGCUUUUUAAUGGACAGGAACUAUUCCUCAGACAUAUGUUGAAAAGCUUUCUCUGUUCCUAGCAUAAGGUUGAGCACUAAGAAAAACAGUACAUGUAUUAAACUGAACUGAAAGUCUGUUCCUGAGGAUGAAUGAACUCGAGGAGAAGCUUGUAAAGCACCUGUUACAUGUGGAGUCUUAAUAUGAAAAACUCACUGGAGCUCUGUGGUUCCUUGGUUCCCGGGCAUAGGAAAGCUCAUAGAUUUCAUCCUCAGUGUAGUAAAGAUCCAGGGAUAACUGCAGAUCAAAGCAGAACAGGGUUCAUUGCUAAGAUGCUGUUUGCCUCUCCCACAGCUGAUGGUUCUUUCUUGGAUUUUCCUUGCCAGUAGUUUACUCUUUUAGGUUCUAAACAGUUUGUUUUUAAAAGUCACAAAACAGGUAUAACACCUACUAUUGCAAUAGGGCAAGCAUUAAUUCUCAUUGAAAUGUUUUUAAUUUUGGACAUAGGAUGCCCUCUUUUUAACUAUGAUUUAAAUCUAAGCCUCUAUAUAGAGCUUAGGCCAAAGGCCUUGUCUGGACAGAUGACUAAUACAUCACUUGUUCUCUCUCAAAGCAGACAGAUGAUCUGAAAGGAUGGUGUGUAUAGUCUGAGACUAUUAAAUUUGAGUCCAGCAAUAAAAUCCAGUUUAAAUGGUAAGACAUAUUAAUUGCUAUUAAGAGUUAAUGAGUCUGGGUGCAUGGUGGCUCAUGCCUGUAUUCCCAGCAUUUUGGGAGGCCAGGGCAGGUUGAUUGCUUGAGCUCAGGAGUUUGAGACCAGCCUGGGCAACAUAGCAAAACCCUGUCUCUACAAAAAAUACAAAAGUUAACCGGGCGUGGUGGCGUGUGCCCGUGGUCCCAGCUACUCAGGAGGCUGAGGUGGGAGGAUGGCUUGGACCUGGAAGAUAGAGGUUGCAGUGAGCUGAGAUUGCACUACUGCACUCCAGUCUAGGUCAUAGAGCCAGACCUUGUCUCCAAAAAAAAAAAAAAAAAAAAAAAUAGUGAGUUUCAUGUAUCUUAGAACUAUAAAAUUUUAGGAGAGAAGUCCUUAGGAAUAAUAUUAUUCUUAACCUUGAGUCUAUGGAUAGGCUUCAAGGAUUUCAGAACUUGAAAUUACAUGCAUAUUUAAAAAUAAAUGGCUUAUGUACAUUUUUCUGGGAAGAAGGUUCACAGCUUUCAUCACAAGAUUUAUAAUCCAAAGAAUGUUAAGAUUCACUCCAUGUUUUUACAAAUGAUGUCUGAGACACAGACCUGCCAAGGUCACCUGGCUAAUAAGUGAAAGGGCUAGGAUCACACACCAGCUGAUGUGAAGCCCAGGGUUCUAUCAAAAUGCUGCUGUGAGGCAGAAAGAGGUUAUGAUCAUUAUUCUACUCUCCAAAAACAGCAGGUUAAAAACUGUGUAACUUUAGAACUGGAAGAGAAGUUCGAAGUCAUCCCAGAGACUAAUUCGUUUGAGGAGAGGAAUCUUGGACGGUUAUAUGUCCAUAGUCACACAGCUGGUAAACUACGGAAUUGCAGGUCUGGAAGGGAGUUCAUCAUCUGAUCUCACCCCAUAUGCAAAAUGCAAAUCCUGGUCUCCCACACCAUUGACAAGUGUUCAUCUUCACUUGAAUAUCUCCAAGAGCAAAGAUCUAAGCCAGGAACCAAAUAAUAACCCUGGGUGUUUUUUGUUUGUUUUUUAAAUUACUGCCUGCCCUUUUUAUGAGAGCACAUUCAUUCUCUCCAUCUGUUACCAAGACUUGUAUCCUGAUUUGCCAUCAGCUCCUCCCAGAGAGCUUAGGACUGCUUUUGUAGAGGUAGUGAAACAGUCCUAGAAGUCUGAAGGGCACAGUCUCUAGAGUCCCACCACCUGGGUCUGAAUCAAGGCUCUGCUACUUAAUAAUGUGUGGUCUCCUGGCAAGGUAUAUCUUUGUGCUUUAGUAUCCCUAGCUAUAUGUUGGAGAUAGUAAUAGGAUCUGCUUCAUAGAGCCUUUAUGAGGACUAACAGCUAAUAUUUGGUAAGGGGUAUAGAAUGGCACCUGGCACACAGAAAGUGCUUAGUAAUUGUCCUCCAGUGUGAGCCUCACCGUCAGCAAGUGUACCAAGUCCUUGUUAGCCUCCAAGGGUGGGGCCACCUCUUGCAGCUGGACCAA